rnacentral:rRNA from 1 species
AGAGUUUGAUCCUGGCUCAGGAUGGACACUAGCGGCAGGCUUAACACAUGCAAGUCGAAGGGCAUCGCGGGGAGUGCUUGCACUCCCUGGCGGCGACUGGCGCACGGGUGAGUAACACGUAUGCAACCUGCCCUCCACAGGGGGACAACCUUCCGAAAGGGAGGCUAAUCCCGCGUAAAUCUCGAUGGGGCAUCCCAUUGAGAGGAAAGCUUCGGCGGUGGAGGAUGGGCAUGCGGCGCAUUAGCUAGUCGGCGGGGUAACGGCCCACCGAGGCGACGAUGCGUAGGGGUUCUGAGAGGAAGGUCCCCCACACUGGUACUGAGACACGGACCAGACUCCUACGGGAGGCAGCAGUGAGGAAUAUUGGUCAAUGGGCGGGAGCCUGAACCAGCCAAGCCGCGUGAGGGAAUAAGGCCCUAUGGGUCGUAAACCUCUUUUGUCGGGGAACAAAAGCGGGGACGCGUCCCCGUCUGCGUGUACCCGAAGAAAAAGCAUCGGCUAACUCCGUGCCAGCAGCCGCGGUAAUACGGAGGAUGCGAGCGUUAUCCGGAUUUAUUGGGUUUAAAGGGUGCGUAGGCGGUAUGGUAAGUCAGCGGUAAAAGCCCGGGGCUCAACCCCGGCGAGCCGUUGAAACUGCCGUGCUAGAGAGGAAGAGAAGUAGGCGGAAUGCGCAGUGUAGCGGUGAAAUGCUUAGAUAUUGCGCAGAACUCCGAUUGCGAAGGCAGCCUACCGGCUUCUGUCUGACGCUGAGGCACGAAAGCGUGGGUAUCGAACAGGAUUAGAUACCCUGGUAGUCCACGCAGUAAACGAUGAAUGCCGGCUGUCCGGUCCGACUGAGGGCUGGGUG